rnacentral:rRNA from 1 species
GAUGAACGCUGGCGGCGUGCUUAACACAUGCAAGUCGAACGAAGCAUUUGCGACAGAUUUUUUCGGAAUGAAGUUGCUUAUGACUGAGUGGCGGACGGGUGAGUAACGCGUGGGUAACCUGCCUUGUACUGGGGGAUAGCAGCUGGAAACGGCUGGUAAUACCGCAUAAGCGCACAAUGUUGCAUGACAUGGUGUGAAAAACUCCGGUGGUAUACGAUGGACCCGCGUCUGAUUAGCUAGUUGGUGAGAUAACAGCCCACCAAGGCGACGAUCAGUAGCCGACCUGAGAGGGUGACCGGCCACAUUGGGGCUGAGACACGGCCCAGACUCCUACGGGAGGCAGCAGUGGGGAAUAUUGCACAAUGGAGGAAACUCUGAUGCAGCGACGCCGCGUGAGUGAAGAAGUAAUUCGUUAUGUAAAGCUCUAUCAGCAGGGAAGAUAGUGACGGUACCUGACUAAGAAGCUCCGGCUAAAUACGUG